rnacentral:misc_RNA from 1 species
GGGAAUUGCCAAAUUAACAGUGGAAAAGCUACCACAACCGAUACAAUCUCCGCGAACCCAAUCCAUGGGAGCAAGAAGCAGAAGCAGAAGCAGAAAAGAUUAAAAUCGAAAGGAAUUACAAGUCGAUGGUUUCAAAACAGAGGAUUUGAGAGCUGUUCUCCUUGUUGGGUUUGGUUUUGGUUCCUUUGAGGGAAAGGAAAGUGAGAACAGAGGUCCCAACUC